GGGCCUUUAGCUCAGUUGGUAGAGCGUCACGUUUACACCGUGAAUGUCGUCGGUUCGAUCCCGGCAGGGCCCACCA
rnacentral:tRNA from 1 species